GUGCGUGCGUGGGAGCGUGCGAGUCCAGGAGGCGGUCGCGCGCGCCGGGAGUGUUUCAGUGCGGCCCCCGGCUCACUGUGCUCGCCUCACGCCGGCCCGAGUUCGCAGCAGCGCUGCGGGCCCCGGGCCUGUGACCACAAAGAGGGAGCCGGGGCCCGGACGGGAGCGCGGCGGCGGCAGCUGAGGCCCAGGCCAGGCCCCGUCCCUUCAGCCGCCCGCCUGCCCGUCUGCCCCGCCCCCGCCGGCGGCGCCGCGGCCCUCCCCCAAGCGCCAGACUAGCGCGGUGCGGGGACCGCGCGCGAAGACAUGGGGGAGAAGCUGGAGCUGAGGCUGGAGUCGCUCUUGGGGACCGAGCCCGCCGUCUACCCGUGGCCGCUGCCGGUCUACUUUCCUGAGUUUCUGGGAAGGCCUGGUUUCCCCAAAGGAACGAUUUCUGGUAGAAGUCUGAAGGUCUGACCCAAGAAAAACAAAUCCAGUACAGCCAAUGAAUUGAGGACAAGAAGGUUUCCAAUCAGUUGCUAUAUGGGCCGCGCGCGAAGACAUGGGGGAGAAGCUGGAGCUGAGGCUGGAGUCGCUCUUGGGGACCGAGCCCGCCGUCUGCCCGUGGCCGCUGCCGGUCUACGUGGAAAGACUAUCUCCCAGUUGAACGGCGGAUGCCUGGGACUCGUUUCACUGCUUUCAAAGUUCCUUUAAAAAAGAGUUUUGAAAAGAAUCUUGCUCCAGAAGAACGUUUCUCCCCCUUGGAUCUCUUAACAAAAUCCAAGGACAGAAUGAAGAACUUGGGCUGAUUAUUGACUUAACAAAUACUCGCCGCUAUUACAAGCCAGAGGACUUACCAGAAACUAUUCCGUAUUUAAAAAUUUGUACAAUUGGGCAUCAGGUGUCAGAUGACGACGCUAGUUUUAAAUUCCAGUGUGCUGUUAAUGGGUUUCUGAAAGAACAUAAAGAUAACGGUGAGUUGCUUUUGUUUUUGUUUUUGUUUUUCCUUUACCUGAACUUUGGUAUGCAUUUUGAGUGGGCUUGGGGGUUUUUAACAUUUUUAAUAGUUCUGACAUUAGUGUCAAGUUGUGUUUGGUAACAUUAAGGUGGAAAUGUCAGAUGGUGCUAAUAGAGUACGGUGUUUUUCCUGUUUAUGGUCACAAACAAUUUAGUUUAGUUUGGAAAGUGAUUUUUGUGAGAAAUAUGAACUGAGCUAGCUUACUUAUCUCUUUUUUAAAAAUUUGAAUGGAAAAUACAUAAAAACAUUAAAAUGUUCUUGUGU